rnacentral:rRNA from 1 species
GACGAACGCUGGCGGCGUGCUUAACACAUGCAAGUCGAACGAUGAAGCCGGAGCUUGCUCUGGUGAAUUAGUGGCGAACGGGUGAGUAACACGUGGGUAACCUGCCCUUGACUCUGGGAUAACUGCGGGAAACUGUAGCUAAUACCGGAUACGACCCUCGGAGGCAUCUCCUGGGGGUGGAAAGAAUUUCGGUCAAGGAUGGACUCGCGGCCUAUCAGCUAGUUGGUGAGGUAAAGGCUCACCAAGGCGACGACGGGUAGCCGGCCUGAGAGGGUGACCGGCCACACUGGGACUGAGACACGGCCCAGACUCCUACGGGAGGCAGCAGUGGGGAAUAUUGCACAAUGGGCGCAAGCCUGAUGCAGCAACGCCGCGUGAGGGAUGACGGCCUUCGGGUUGUAAACCUCUUUUAGCAGGGAAGAAGCGACAGUGACGGUACCUGCAGAAAAAGCACCGGCUAACUACGUGCCAGCCGCCGCCGCGG